CAUUAGAUGGCUGAAAGUAAGUAUUGGUCUCUUAAACCAUUUUAUAGUAAUUUACAAAUACUUCUAAUG
rnacentral:tRNA from 1 species